GAUGACAUUGCAGGCUGUACGACUUGCAGCAUGGGAGAGCCAAAGGUAGAUGUUACCACAUGCUACCAGACAGUCCUGUGUCUUCUACUGUUUUAAACACGACGGUCCCUGUCUGCUGCAGGCGGCGUGCUGGCUCUGGUUGAAACAGCCGACUGAGCGUGGGAUGGAUUUGGAGGUGCAUGUUUCCACAUCCCACUGACUUGGAGUUUCUCUGGGAAUGGUUGUGCCUCUUUACCAUCAAUAGGCACACAACACGUCACGCCAUGCUAAGUGCUUUGAUGCAGCCAUUCAAAGAGCCCAGACUAUCUGAUGCCAGUCUCCCAACGCCCAGGUGUCACCCAGGUAUGGGCUUUCAGAGAGAGCAAGGACAAACUCUUCACUUCAACAGCUCCAUAUAAAGCAGCCUGACUGACAGCAGAAAGGACAAAAUACAAUUUCACUGCUAUGUAAAUGGCGAAGGAGGGAGGAGAAAAUAAAAGGCUGGAGUUAUUGAAUCCACAGAGAAGAAACGUUUUCUUUUCUUUCUGCUGGAAAGUUCAAACUUGACUUAUAGUCAAUAAAAAAGAGGACUGUGUACAAUUUUUCCAAGGACCAUCAAACUACAUAGUUCACAUACUCCAUAAAAGACAUAAAUACUAAUCAGCACCUAUCUUCUUUUAUUUAUUUUCAAAAGCGACAAUGCAGAUUAAUAAAUAUGGUUUACCCUGUAAAUAUACCAGAUUUAGCCAACAGGCCUUAUUUCAUAUGAAAUCCCAAGUCUGUUGUUGAUAAAGAGCUGAUGUCAAAGAUGUUUUUUGGGUCAUUUUUAGAAAUAUAAAGCUCACCCUUAUCCGUGCACUUUUGAAAAUUAACAUUUAUGCAGACAUCUGGUAAGCAAUUAAUAAAAUGUGUGUAAGAAAAGCCA